rnacentral:misc_RNA from 1 species
CACUUCCAGAGCAAAAAGAGUCAAAAAAAUACACACAAAAGCUUUUUCAUUUGAGGGAUUUGGUUUUUUUUCUUUGUUAAAUACAAGACAACAUCUUUCUCUUCUCAUUUCCUUUCUUUGAAGCAAAGCAAGAGCAGAAGUGAUGGCUGGGUACAGAGCUGAAGAUGAUUACGAUUACCUCUUUAAGGUGGUGCUUAUAGGUGACUCUGGUGUGGGCAAGUCCAAUCUGCUGUCCAGGUUCACUCGGAAUGAAUUCAGCUUGGAAUCUAAGUCCACUAUAGGAGUUGAGUUUGCUACUCGUAGCUUGAACGUCGAUGGCAAGGUCAUCAAGGCCCAGAUUUGGGACACUGCUGGC